ACCUGGCUAGCUCAGCUGGUAGAGCAUGAGACUCUUGAUCUCAGGAUCAUGGGUUUGAGCCCCAAGCUGGGUG